UACGUAGGUGGCAAGCGUUGUCCGGAAUCACUGGGCGUAAAGCGCGCGCAGGCGGCGAUCUACUUCUGGGGUGAAAGCCCGGAGCUCAACUCCGGGACUGCCUUGGAUACGGGAUCGCUUGAGGAUUGGAGAGGCAAGGGGAAUUCCACGUGUAGCGGUGAAAUGCGUAGAUAUGUGGAGGAACACCUGUGGCGAAGGCGCCUUGCUGGCCAAUUUCUGACGCUGAGGCGCGAAAGCGUGGGGAGCAAACAGG
rnacentral:rRNA from 1 species